UACGUAGGGGGCAAGCGUUGUCCGGAUUUAUUGGGCGUAAAGAGCGUGUAGGCGGCCAGACAGGUCCGUUGUGAAAACUCGAGGCUCAACCUCGAGACGUUGACGGAAACCGUCUGGCUAGAGUCCGGAAGAGGAGUGUGGAAUUCCUGGUGUAGCGGUGAAAUGCGCAGAUAUCAGGAAGAACACCUAUGGCGAAGGCAGCACUCUGGGACGGUACUGACGCUGAGACGCGAAAGCGUGGGGAGCGAACAGG
rnacentral:rRNA from 1 species